rnacentral:lncRNA from 1 species
GUUCUACAUCCUAUUCUUCUUUAGUUGUUUAAGGCAGAGCAUUUAAUUCUCAUCAUUAAUGGGAAAAUAUAAUUUUAAUCAUAAUUUGUAACCUACCCUCCCCACAAGACAAAAUCUUGAGCACAUUUUUACAUGUUUUUAACUUCCAAGGACUCUUUCUUGCUGAUUGCUCCAUUUUCACAAUAGCCUAUUGUUGUUUGAUCAAUCCACUAUCUCUCUGAUAACAGCAAUAGUGUGUGUGCGUUUUUGUCUGUCUGUGUGUAAGUUCUAUUCUCUGCUUUGGAGUCCAGUUCAGGUUUUUUUUUUUUUUUUUUCUCUUGAGGAAGAUCGACCCUGAGCCAACAUCUGCCACCAAUCCUCCUCUUUUUGCUGAGGAAGACUGGCCCUGAGCUAACAUCUGUGCCCAUCUUCCUCUAUUUUAUAUGUGGGAUGCCUGCCACAGCAUGGCUCACCACGUGGUGCUAGGUCUGCACCUGGGAUCCAAACCAGCGAACCCCAGGCCACUGAAGCAGAACUUGUGAAUUUAACCGCUGUGCCACCGGGCCAGCCCCCCAGUUCAGCAGCCAUAUGCCUCAGUCUCCAGGCAGACCUCUCUUCUGAGUGGGAGAGAUGGCUCAGAACCACAAAUCAGUUAACGGGUGGCGUGACAGCAGAUUUCCCUUCAGAGUCCCUGGAAGAGAGCAGCCAGUCCAGCGGGGGACCCUCAUGGGCCCCAUAGGGAAGCUUUGCCCUGAGGUGAGGCAGUUUCCCACAGCUCACUUCUGGGAAGAGUUGUGUUUCUCUUUUCCUCUCCUUACCCUCCACGCUGUCUGCUGAGUUACCUUGUAUUGUCUGAAUAACGUUCUAGACUCAGCAUCCAGGAGGACAGCCGCUUCCCCAUCCUCGACCAAUUCCCCGCCUUCUCCAAGAGCUCCUUCCAUAACACACCGCAUCCAGCCUUCUACAUAAUGGGAGAAAGGGCGAGAGAGGUUGGCCCAGGUGUGUGGCGAGCACCUUGUAACUAUUUCCCUCGUCAGUGCCCCGAGGGUCCGCGCUCUCUCUCACAUUUGGCGUUUCCCCGCACACCAUUGGGAAGACUCUGCCGAGCCUACUGCUGGGGCUUGUUUGGGGUAGCAAUUUCCACUGUUCUAGUUUUUCUAUCAACCUACCCCACCUAUCAAUAUAUCUGGAGCACCGAUGGCACCUUUUCAAUGCUAUUAAGGAUUUAUUUUCCUUCUUAGCAGGGGAGGCAAACAGAUGUGCUUCAUCUGUCAUCUUGAACCGGAAGUCUAAAAGAAGGUUUAGGAUGCCACAAACAGGUAGUUUUUGAGUGAG